UAAGAGAUAAAAGUAACAAGUAAUUAAAGAGCAGCAGAAAAAAGUAACAAUAUAUACAAGGGGGUACCUCGUCAAUGUGCAGGGGCACCCGUUAGGUGAGGUAUUAUGUACAUGUAGGUAGAGUUAUCAAAGUGACCAUGCAUAGAUGACGACAGAGAGUGGCAGUGGUGUGGAUAGGGGGAGGGGCUAAUGCAAAUAGUCUGGGGAGCUGUUUAGAAGCCUCAUGGACCUAGAGAGAACAGUCUAUCACUAUGGGGGACUGGAGUAUUUGACCAUUUUUAGGGCCCUCCUCUGACACCGCCUGGUAUAGAGGUCCUGGAUGGCAGAAAGCUUUAUUUUUUAUUUAAUAAAGGAGAGGAUUUAGAGUGACAGGAUUUAGAGUGACAGGAGGCUCCAUCAACACAACUGGUGAAAGAGGAGGCAGUCAGGUGAGUUGGUCAGGAGAGGAGAGGAUUUAGAGUGACAGGAGGCUCUAUCAACACAACCGGUUAUAGAGGCAGUCAGGUGAGUUGGUCAGGAGAGGAGAGGAGAGGAUUUAGAGUGACAGGAGGCUCUAUCAACACAACCGGUGAAAGAGGAGGCAGUCAGGUGAGUUGGUCAGGAGAGGAGAGGAGAGGAUUUAGAGUGACAGGAGGCUCUAUCAACACAACUGGUGAAAGAGGAGGCAGUCAGGUGAGUUGGUCAGGAGAGGAGAGGAGAGGAUUUAGAGUGACAGGAGGCUCUAUCAACACAACCGGUGAAAGAGGAGGCAGUCAGGUGAGUUGGUCAGGAGAGGAGAGGAGAGGAUUUAGAGUGACAGGAGGCUCUAUCAACACAACUGGUGAAAGAGGAGGCAGUCAGGUGAGUUGGUCAGGAGAGGAGAGGAGAGGAUUUAGAGUGACAGGAGGCUCUAUCAACACAACUGGUGAAAGAGGAGGCAGUCAGGUGAGUUGGUCAGGAGAGGAGAGGAUUUAGAGUGACAGGAGGCUCCAUCAACACAACUGGUG